UCCACAGCACUUUUCUUCUCCGUUCAAACCCCCACACACAAUACACGCAUUGAUGUGUGUGGAGUAAUUUCUACGUAAAAAAAUAAAAUAAAAAUUCCAGAAAUCAAUCGCAUUGAGAAUGCUCAAAAUUGCAAUUUUAAGCCCUAAAUUGCUUUAAAAUCGCACUAUGAUUCUCUCCAAGGAUCGUAUAAAAUAUAUACAUCCCCGUAUCUUUAUACAGCUGUAUAUGCAUGUAUGUAUGUAUAUAUUUCCAUAUCUGUAAACGUAUAUAUAUAUGCACAUUGGUAUGCAUUUAUAGAUAGAGAGAGAUUAGUGGUGGUGAGGAUGGGGGCGAUGACGUCAUCCAUGGCGGCGAAGUUUGCGUUUUUUCCGCCGGAUCCGCCGUCGUAUGGGGUGGCGGUGGAGGAGUCCACCGGGAAGUUGAAGAUGACGGAGGUGCCGGAGAGGGAUAACGUGGACGUGUUGAAGCUGGCGACGAAGAGGGGGACGGAGAUUGUGGCGAUGUACGUGAGGAACCCUGGGGCCUCGCUGACGAUGCUCUACUCCCACGGCAACGCGGCCGAUGUGGGACAGAUGUACGAGUUGUUCUGUGAACUUAGUCUUCACCUUCGGGUCAAUCUGAUGGGGUAUGACUAUUCUGGGUAUGGACUGUCCACAGGCAAGGCAAGCGAGCAGAACACGUAUGCUGACAUAGAAGCAGCAUACAGAUGUCUUAGUGAGACAUAUGGUGUGAAAGAAGAAGAUGUUAUUUUAUAUGGUCAGUCUGUUGGCAGUGGACCCACUAUAGAUCUUGCAUCACACUUGUCAAGAUUAAGGGCUGUGGUUUUGCAUAGUCCAAUAUUGUCUGGACUACGAGUGAUGUAUCCUGUGAAGAAGACAUACUGGUUUGACAUAUAUAAGAAUAUUGAUAAGAUGCCUUUGGUUGAAUGUCCCGUUCUUGUUAUACAUGGGACUGCUGAUGAAGUUGUGGACUGCUCUCAUGGCAAGCAGCUUUGGGAGCUUUGUAAGCAGAAAUAUGAACCACUAUGGGUUACGGGUGGUAACCAUUGUGACUUGGAGCUUUUCCCGGAGUACAUUAAACAUCUGAAGAAGUUUGUGUCAGCUAUCGAGAAGUUAUCACUUUUAAAAAAUGCAUCAACAUGUACAGACCAUGAAGAUGAUCAUCGAAACAGCACAGACUGUAGACCCAGGUCGAGCACUGAUCAGAAAGAAAAGUCUAGGAUAAGUACAGAAAAGAGGGAGAAGCCUAGAAAAAGUGCGGACUUGAGAGAAAAGCCAAGAGCUAGCACUGAGAAGAGAGAAAGAAUGCGUAAGAGUUUGGAUCAUUCUGAAAAGGCAAUUAGCAAUACAGAAUCACAUGACAAAGCAAGGAAGAGCAUUGACCGGUCGGAUUAAACUUAUCUGCUUUAGUGAGAGGAUGAAAUUGGCUGUAUUAUGCAAUAUUGAUUGCUUCAAGCCAACAGGAGGAGAAUCAGGAGAUGUCUCUAGAUAGAGGAAAAGAUUGCUUCUUCACCCGGUUCUGGAUUGGUAAAGUUUCCCAAGGGGGUAUGGCGUGGCCCUAAUUCUCGAGGUGCAUCCAAUGCAAAUGUGCAAUGCGGGUUGAAGAUGUUAUGAUAAAGUUUGAAAUUAUUGGUUACAUCCUUUAUGUACUUCCUCAUACAAGAGACAUCAGUCUCUUGGUUCCGGUCGCAAGAAAUUUGGGACUCUCCUCUUUUGAAAAAUUUUAUCAUCCAGUGUCAAAUUUUUUUUGAUGUAUUUAAUUUCAUUGAGGUGGGGAAACUUGAUAUGGAAACGAGAUAGGACACAAACUUGCUUUCUAAGGAUUGGACAGAAAAUCCAGAAAGAAAGCUAUACUACAUUUAUAUAUCUAAUUAUUUCCUG